CAGUAGCCGCGGUAAUACGUAGGUGGCAAGCGUUGUCCGGAAUUAUUGGGCGUAAAGGGCUCGCAGGCGGUUUCUUAGGUCUGAUGUGAAAGCCCCCGGCUCAACCGGGGAGGGUCAUUGGAAACUGGGAAACUUGAGUGCAGAAGAGGAGAGUGGAAUUCCACGUGUAGCGGUGAAAUGCGUAGAGAUGUGGAGGAACACCAGUGGCGAAGGCGACUCUCUGGUCUGUAACUGACGCUGAGGAGCGAAAGCGUGAGGAGCGAACAGGAUUAGAUACCCGCGUAGUCCCUGUCUCUUAUAC
rnacentral:rRNA from 1 species